ACAGCUACAUCACAUUGAAAACACUGGUUCUCAUAUGAUCACUAAAGUUAAGCAACAUCAAACCUGGUCAGUACUUAGAUGGGUAGGCAUUUGAGAAUACCAGGUGCAGUAAG